GUGUGAAGAAGAGAAGGCGAGAGCGACCCCCAGGACGACCAAAGCCCGCGCGCCGCUGCAUCCCCGCGUCCAGCGCCAACGUCCCGCCGCCGUCGCCACCAUGCCCAAGAGAAAGGCUGAAGGGGAUGCUAGAGGAGAUAAAGCCAAGGUGAAGGACGAACCACAGAGAAGAUCUGCAAGGUUAUCUGCUAAACCUGCUCCUCCAAAGCCAGAGCCCAAGCCUAAAAAGGCCCCUGCAAAGAAGGGAGAGAAGGUACCCAAAGGGAAAAACGGGAAAGCUGGUGCUGGCAAGGAUGGGAAUAACCCUGCAGAAAACGGAGAUGCCAAAACAGACCAGGCACAGAAAGAUGAAGGUGCUGGAGAUGCCAAGUGAAGUAUGUGCAUUUUUGAUAACUGUGUACUUCUGGUGACUGUACAGUUUGAAAUACUAUUUUUUAUCAAGUUUUAUAAAAAUGCAGAAUUUUGUUUUACUUUUUUUUUAAGCUAUGUUGUUAGCACACAGAACACUUCUUUGUUGUUUUUUGGGGAAGGGCAUAUGUCACUGAUAGAAUGUCUCCAAAGCUGGAUUGACGUGAGGGAGAAAAGAUCUUUCCCUGCCAGUUCUGAGAGACCUUCCUCUUGGUUCCCAGGAGGAGAGUUGUCUUAAUGUUGACACACGUGAGCCACCUUGGCACAAAUGCCUGGUGGUGUGGAAAAACUAAAAUUCGUUUUUAUGUCCUCUUCACCCUCUCCGCCUUCGGCAUAGACCUGACUCCCUUAAACCCAGAAACCUCUUGAGACUUGAUCCAAAAAAAUUGGUUACCAGUAUGUCAGGCAAUCUGGACUUCCAAUGUCACCAUUGAGAUGGUAUCCCUCAAAAGAGCAGC